rnacentral:tRNA from 1 species
GCGGGUGUAACCCAAUGGUAGGGCAGAAUCCUCCAAGCUUACGACGAGGGUUCGAUCGCUUCACCCGCUCCA